UGGAGCUGCGCGGCACGGCAGUGGCCCGCGUCGGAGGGGAGCAGGCUCCCGGCUGUUGGCUCGCGCUGCUGCGGCUGCUGAAACAUCCAUGGAGUCGCCAACCCCCAAGUCGCCGUACGAGUUGGAGCCAACGAAUAUUUUUAGCUUAGACCUAGUUCUUCAAGGGUUUCUAUUGAAGGAACUGAGCGGUAGGAAAUCAUAUGUGAAAGGGAAAACAAUUAGAUGGAACGUAGACUCGGAGGAUUUCACAAUUGAUGUGCUAAUGGAUGGCUUAGGUGCUGAGCUGAGAGUUGGCAGGAAUCAGAGUGUUACUGUGUGGUAUUUUGACAUGAUAAUGGCGCAAGAUGUUAGACUAACUCAUAAGGAUCAACUUCAUGUGAUGUUUGACAUGUACAGAGCAGAGAAGAAGCUUACAUUGGCUGUUGUUGUGCUUGAUAACUCUGAUUCUGAAACUCCUGUACCCGUCGUUGACAAUGUUGUUCAUGUGCCUGAAGCAACUAUUUCUGACAAUGAUGUGCUGCUGAUGGAUACGCAAGAUUGUCCCUUACCAUCUCAUGCAAACACACCAUUAAAGCAAUCUGCACAAGUAGAGCCAUCUGCCCAGAAUGUAGAAACUGACCCAUUUGACAUGGUUGAGGAGUACGUAGGGGUAGAUGAUGAGUACAUGUAUAUUGUUGAGCCAUUUGCCCUUGUCCCAACAGCAUCUGUUGAGCAGGGCAGCAACAUUCAGGAGAAAGAGGAUGAUGGCGCUGAUGUAUUUGUGCACCACGAGGAGGAAGAAGUGGUUGAUAUUGAUCCUGCAGGCUAUACUGUGGUGCAUGACAUUGAGAACCCAGACAUCAGGGUUGGGGCUCUCUUUCCUGACAUUGUGACUUUCAGAAAAGCUAUAAGGCAACGUGCUAUUUUAGUUGGGUUUAAGUUGGCUAAAAUCAAAACGGACAAAACUAGGUUCAUUGCUGAGUGUGCACAUGGGCCAUGUCCAUGGCGCAUACAUGCAUCCACAUUGCAAGAUGGUAGAACAGUCAUGAUAAAAACGCUUCCAUUUGAGCACAACUGUCCCAUUACAAAAUUAUCAAUUUGCAAAAUGGCUUCACAAGGAUGGAUUGCAGAUAAGACUGGGGAUUGGGUGAAGAAAAAUCCUGGUGUUGGUGCAAAAGACGCCAAAGGGAAGUUGGAAGAUGAGUUCAACAUCAAGCUGAAAUACAACAAGGCUUGGUACGGUAUGAAGGUAGCCCUUGAUCAAAUCCAUGGUAGUUAUGAAGAUUGUUUUCCAUUGCUUUUUAACUGGAAAGCUGAGAUAGAACAUAAAUGCCCAGGGAGUAUUGUAGAGAUAGAGCUCCUAAAAAAUGGAGACAAAUACCAUUUUAACAGAAUGUUUGUUGCAUUCAAGCCUUGCAUCGAUGGUUUCUUAGCUGGUUGUAGGCCUUAUGUUGGUGUGGACUCAACAGCACUUUAUGGCAAGUUUAAGGGCCAGUUAGCAUCAGCAACUGCUGUAGAUGGGCACAACUGGCUAUAUUAUGUAGCAUUUGCUGUGUUUGAUUCUGAAACCGGUGAAAACUGGAAAUGGUUCAUGAAACAAUUGCAUAGAGCUAUAGGUUCCCCACCGGUCUUGUUAUUUCUAGUGAUGCAUGCAAAGGAUUAGAGACUGCCAUUGACCUUGUCUUUCCUAAUUGUGAAAACCGAGAGUGCAUGAGGCACUUGUAUGCAAAUUUUAUGAAGAAAUUCCAUGGUAAAGUGUACACAGAUAAUCUUUAUCCAGCUGCACGGUCUUUCUCACAUCGAAAUUUUAUGCAUCAUAUGAAGAAAAUCCAGGAUGCAAAUCCAGCGGCUAUUGAAUAUCUAGAUAUUCAUCACAAUAGGUUGUGGUAUAGAUGUGGUUUUGGAGAGGCCAGUAAGGUUGAUUAUUUGACAAACAACAUAUCCGAGAGUUUCAACAAGCAAAUAAAAGACUUCAAAGGGCUCAAUGUCCUGAACCUUUUUGACAAAAUUAGGGAGAUCAUCACAGAGAAGUUCUAUAUUAGAGGACAAGUAAGUAAGCAGCUAAAGGGUAGGAUUCUUCCUCAUGUCAUUAAGCAGCUAAAAUGCUCUCAGCAAAACCAUUGGUCGAAACAAGAUUCUUUGGACCAGUGAACAUGAGGCAGAAGUCACGUUGUUGGAUCUCAAAUUUGUCAAAAGACACAUUUGUCAACUUGAAAGAUAGAACAUGUACUUGUAGAGUUUGGCAAGUUUCAGGAAAGCCAUGCAUGCAUGCACUGGCCUUCAUUUGUAGCAUCAAUGGUGCUGAGAUUCAAACAUAUGUGGAUGAUUACUAUUCUGUGGAUAAGUUCAAGGCAGCGUAUGCUGGGAAUAUCCCUUCCAUGACAGAUAAGUCACCGUGGAUCCAAGUGGAUUUGGGUGUCAAGGUCCACCCUCCUUUGCAGCAAACAGUGGCUGGUAGGCCACGAGUUCAGAGAAUUAGAGGAUGGCUAGAGCCUGGAAGGAAAAUAGUCAAGUGUAAGAGGUGUGGUGAACCUGGGCACAUGCAGAAGACAUGCAAGGUUCCUAAUCCUGAAUAUAUGGCGGUAGAUGAUGAUAUACCUAUAGAGGAUCCAUCUACACCUACAAACAAAAGGAAGAAAUGUGGUGAAACAACGGCUACAACAGAUGGUGAUGCAACAGAUGAUGAAGUCCUUAUUAAUCUUAUAAGGAAAAGGGCCAGAACAACUCCACAGAAGCCGAAGGCACCUGAAAAGGUCAAUGCACCAGCCAAGAAGAAGACACCUGUGAAGAUAGCUGCGGUAGAAGAGAAGACCAAGAAAAAGACUCCUAUGAAGAAAGCUACAACACAACAGAAAACCAAAAAGAAGACCCCCGUGAAGAAAGUUGCAUCACAAGAGAAAGCCAAGAAGAAGACAUCUAAAGGGAAGAAAGUCAAGAAGAAUGUUCCAUUUGCGCCGGUUAUACCUCCACCUCCACCUCCACCUCCAGAAGGGCAGCCUACAAAUGGUGCAAAAAGAAGCCUUCUUUAUUGGCUUGGUGGCUAGCGGCUGCCGAAAUUAAGUCGUGCUUGUGAACCUGUUUAUGUGAACCUAUUUACUCUACUAAAUCGUGCUUGUGAACCUAUUUACUCAAUUAAAUCUUGCUUGUGAACCUGUUUAUGAAUCGAUAUGAAUUGUGCUUGUUAAUUUGUA